UGAGUGAAGAAGGCCUUCGGGUUGUAAAGCUCUUUCGCAAGGGAAGAAAACUUACACAAUAACACUGUGUGAGGCUGACGGUACCUUGAUAAGAAGCACCGGCUAACUACGUGCCAGCAGCCGCGGUAAUACGUAGGGUGCGAGCGUUAAUCGGAAUUACUGGGCGUAAAGCGUGCGCAGGCGGUUUGGCAGGUCAGAUGUGAAAUCCCCGAGCUCAACUUGGGAACUGCGUUUGAAACUGCCAGACUAGAAUAUGUCAGAGGGGGGUAGAAUUCCACGUGUAGCAGUGAAAUGCGUAGAGAUGUGGAGGAAUACCAAUGGCGAAGGCAGCCCCCUGGGAUAAUAUUGACGCUCAUGCACGAAAGCGUGGGGAGCAAACAGGAUUAGAUACCCUGGUAGUCCACGCCCUAAACGA
rnacentral:rRNA from 1 species